GUCUACGGCCAUGCCACUCUGAACAAGCCCGAUCCCAGCUGAUCUCGGAAGCUAAGCAGGGUCGCGCUUGGUUAGUGCUUGGAUGGGAGACCACCUAGGAGGACCAGGUGCUGUAGGCA
rnacentral:rRNA from 1 species